GAUGAAGAACGCAGCGAAAUGUGAUAAGUAAUGCGAAUUGCAGAAUCCGUGAGUCAUCGAAUCUUUGAACGCACAUUGCGCCCUCUGGUAUUCCGGAGGGCAUGCCUGUUCGAGCGUCAUUAUCACCCCUCAAGCCCGGCUUGUUGUUGGAUGCAGCGCUUAUCCCGCUCCUCCCAAAGAUAAUGACGGCGUCUGCGACGACUCCUGUACACUGAGCUUUCGGGCACGUACACGGCUAGAAGUCCAGACCCGGUCGCCGUCCCCCCCGCGGGGACACCCAUUACCACAAGGUUGACCUCGGAUCAGGUAGGAAUACCCGCUGAACUUAAGCAUAUCAAUAAGCGGAGGA
rnacentral:misc_RNA from 1 species